rnacentral:tRNA from 1 species
GCGGGUGUCGUAUAAUGGUUAUUAUUUCUGUUUUCCAAGCAGGAAACGCGGGUUCGAUUCCCGCCACCCGCUCCA